UCCGCCGUGCGACCGCGCCUCGCCGCCCGUCCGCAGGCUCAGACCGACUCGCGGUAUCGUCCGAACUUCGUCCAACAGUUCCGAGUUAACCCUUCGGUGUAGGCGCCAACUUUUUGUAUUGCCGAUUUUGAACAAGUGCGACUUUGGUGUGAUUCGUUAGUGAUGUGAUUUGAAUGGAUUUUACUUUGAAUUACAAUCCUUGACGGAUUCUUUAAAACUGCAUUUAGUGCUCUGAUGCGCGCUCCCGGGGGUCGCCAUGUCGGCGGUGAUGAGCACCCUCUCCAUGAUCAGCGGCGGGCGGCGCGCGCACCGCAAGCUCGCCAGCUCGCGCAAGUCGGGGCAGUUCUCGGACGCGGGCGAGGAGCGCGGCCGCGCCCAGCAUGAGCUCAGCAAGCAGCGCUCCAACUCCCUCCAAACCCUGGAGCCUGCGGGGGUCGUCAACCUCGAGAGCUUGGAAGCUAAGGUUGGUUGGUACUGAACAUUGUAAGCUAUAGAACACACAGUGGAACUUUUACGCGCGUUUAUCUUAUCCGUAUCAAGUAACAUGCUAGUUAUAUAGUCUAGAUUCACGGUUAAAACUAGAGACCAUCUAGAAACGAAAGACGUACUUUACAAUUCGGUGGAGAGAGAUUAUACCAGAUACUGUUGAAGUACAAAAACACCUAGCCAAAAAUAUA
rnacentral:lncRNA from 1 species